rnacentral:rRNA from 1 species
UGAGGAAUAUUGGUCAAUGGUGGCAACCCUGAACCAGCCAAGUCGCGUGAAGGAUGAAGGUCUUAUGGAUUGUAAACUUCUUUUAUACAGGAAUAAAUUGUGGGACGUGUCCCCUUCUGCAUGUACUGUAUGAAUAAGGAUCGGCUAACUCCGUGCCAGCAGCCGCGGUAAUACGGAGGAUCCGAGCGUUAUCCGGAUUUAUUGGGUUUAAAGGGUGCGCAGGCGGGACGUUAAGUCGGCGGUGAAAUUUUGCAGCUCAACUGUAAAAGUGCCCUCGAUACUGGCCGCCGUGAGUUUGGAUGAAGUAGGCGGAAUUUUUGGUGAAGCGGUGAAAUGCUUAGAUAUCACGAGGAACUCCGAUUGCGCAGGCAGCUGACUAAGCCACAACUGACGCUCAUGCACGAAGGCGUGGGGAUCAAACA